AUGGUGACCUCUCUGGGUUUUAACACCUGGAACAGGCCGGGUGCAGUGGCUCACACCUGUCCAUCCCAGCACUUUGGGAGGCUGAGAUGGGCAGAUCAACUGAGGUUGGGAGUUUGAGACCAGCCUGGCCAACAUGGUGAAACCCUAUCUCUACUAAAAAUACAAAAAUUAGCCAGGCGUGGUGGUGCACACCUGUAAUCCCAGCUACUCUGGAGGCUGAGGCAUGAAAAUCGCUUGAACCUGGGAGGCGGAGGUUGCAGUGAGCUGAGAUCGCGCCACUGCACUCUAGCCUGGGCAACAGAGUGAGCCUCUGUCUUAAAAAAAAAAAAAAAAAAAAAAAAAAACCUGGAACAGGCAGAGCCUGGAGGAUGUGUGUGGACUUCCCAUCUGUGCCAAAUGUGCUUUGGAGAAAACCCACAUAGCUGAAUGAUUAAAGUCAAGCACGGAAGGAAUGCAGUCUCUGUGCCAGGCCAUUCCCAGUGUUUCACUGGUGCCCUGGGGUCCACAUGCUUUUUUAAAGAAGACUAGGCCAGGCACAGUGGCUCACGCCUGUAAUCCCAGCACUUUGGGAGGCUGAGGCAGGCGGAUCACCUGAGGUCGGGAGUUCGAGACCAGCCUGACCAACAUGGAGAAACCCUGUCUCUACUAAAAAUACAAAAUUAGCCGGGCGUGGUGGCAGGUGCCUGUAAUCCCAGCUACUCAGGAGGCUGAGGCAGGAGAACUGCUUGAACCCGGGAGGCAGAGGUUGUGAUGAGCCAAGAUCGCGCCAUUGCACUCCAGCUUGGGCAACAAGAGCGAAAACUCCAUCUCAAAAAAAAAAAAAAAAAAGACUAAAGUGUGCCAAAUUUGCAGUAAAUUGGAGAAUGUCAGACCUGCCUCUUAGACGUAGAGUGUGGCCAGCACAUCCAGGUUCAUGACACAGCAUUGUCUUUUGAAAGUAAUGUGCCAAAGUCAGAUGUCAACCGAGGGUUCUACACACAGAAUAUGGAGAGAGAUCUGUAACUCUGAUGGAACACGUCUAAUUAGCAUGCUGGGGAAAGACACAUCCCCCAGUGUCGUGCUGCUCAAACUGGCCUGGACCAUACCCUACUAUCAAAGGAAUCAGCCUCACAUUUGCUCCUGCUAGGUGAAAGGAGAGUGUCAGAGAAAAGAGGAGCGUCCCUACAGACAGAAGAAGCCUACAGAUCUGGAUGAUCCCCUUGCUGAUCAAAAUGUUGAAGACUCAUAUUAUGGAAUCAAUGACCCUAUAGCUGAUAAGCUUCUAAAGCAGACUUCAACCAUGCCUCAUCUGGACCCACCAGAGGACAAGACUCUCACCACAUUAGACGUGGAUGGUCUGGGUGAAACAGAUCAGAGAAAUCAUUUCUACCAGUUAGGAGAGAUUGACCAUCACUCUAAUGCAGAAGCAGCAGGGUGCUUUCACCCAGUUUUCCACAAGGCAGGCUACAGACAUGGCUGCUGAGAAGUCCUUUAAUAAGUUGAUUGCAAUCGCCACAGACUCAACGUGAAAUCAAGAAGAUCUCAAGCAGCCAGAGGAAAAGAAAAAGAAGGACGGAACCACAUACUCUGGGAUCAAGUUAGAGCCUUUUCCAGGACUGCCAUGAGCUCUUCCUCCUGUUGCAGCAGCUACUUCAGCCUACCCCUAAGUGAUCCUCCACCACUGUGGUGAACAUUGCCCUGCCACCCCCACCACUCCCCGUACUAUCAGGUUUGGGGCUACACAUGUUCCACCUCAUUCCUUUCAUGAAGACUCCAGGACCAAUCCUUUUCAGGACCCUCAGAGGAUGGGAGCUCAUGCUGGAAAAUACAGCUGC
rnacentral:lncRNA from 1 species